GACGAACGCUGGCGGCGUGCUUAACACAUGCAAGUCGAACGGAAAGGCCCCUUUGGGGGUACUCGAGUGGCGAACGGGUGGGUAACACGCGAGUAACCUGCCCUUCACUUCGGGAUAACUUCAGGAAACUGGGGCUAAUACCGGCUAGGAAUCCUUGCUGCCUGCUGGGGGGUGGAAAGAUUGGGGGGUUUGGGGAGGAACCGCGGGCUAUUAGCUUGUUGGUUGGGUGGUGGGUUACCAAGGAUUUGUCGGGUGGCCGGCCUGGGAGGGCGACCGGCCAAAUUGGGGAUGGGGAUCGGCCCAGACUCCUACGGGAGGCAGGAGGGGGGAAUAUUGCACCAUGGGGGGAAGCCUGAUGCAGCAACGGCGCGGGCGGGAUGACGGGCUUCGGGUUGGAAACCGGUUUCAGCAGGUGCGAAGCUUGUGGUGACGGUACCUGCAGAAGAAGCACCGGCUAACUACGUG
rnacentral:rRNA from 1 species